rnacentral:lncRNA from 10 species
AGCCCGCACAAUGACUUCCAGCUGGAGCAGCCCAGCCAGCCUGCGCGCUCACUCGCUUGCUUGCGCUGGGCUUCAGGGCGCCCGGGUUUUUCUGUGGACCUAAAUUUUCAUUUCUCUGGGAUAAAUGUCCAGGAGUGUGAUUGCUGGGUCAUAUGGCUCCAGGGACCUACCUGACUUCCUAUUCAUGCUGAUCCCACUGAGACCCUUAUCAACCCUGACCUGUUCCCCAUGUGCCUCUUGGAUCUGCCUUAUGUUCCAGGUGGGACUGCCAAGAUGAAUAGACAUAAUCCUCGAUCUAACCACUUCACAGUUUAUCAUCGGAGUCAAGUUUGCAGAUAAACAAUUGCCAUGCAACUUUCAAGAGACGGGGUGUCAUCCUGUUGCUCAGGCUGGUCUCAAACUCCUGGCCCUAAGUGAUCCUCCUGCCUCAGCCUCUCAAAGUGCUGGGAUUACGGGUGUGAACCUAAUCGCAGAGAAAAUGGUGCCUGAGAUGAGCAAGGUCAGCAGACAAGAAGUGAGGUCAAUGUCAGGUUUCCAUGCCAGCAGCGGGAACUCUGGAUACAGUGGAGAGUCACAGCUGGUCAAACCCUGAACCGCUUGCUCCUUGAAAUGGCCAGAGAGGCCCAUCCCAGAGCCAUCUCAUCAUCUCUCCUCAGACAGGAAACCGAGAAGGAAAACAAUCAGCUCUGUUCUCUCUGGGCCGAGGGAGUGAGCUGUAAUGAGGGAGCACAGGAACGCAUUGGGCGCCCUCAGACCUGAACACACAGGUUAGCACCACCUGCCUGGCUGACCUGG